rnacentral:lncRNA from 1 species
GGGCUGCACCUGCGGCAUAUGGAGGUUCCCAGGCUAGGGGUCGAAUCGGAGCUGUAGCCACCAGCCUGAGCCAGAGCCACAGCAACGCCAGAUCUGAGCCGCCCCUUCAAACUACACCACAGCUCACGGCAACGCUGGAUCCUUAACCCACUGAGGGAGUCCAGGGAUCAAACCUGCAAUCUCCUGGUUCCUAGUCGGAUUCGUUUCUGCUGCGCCACAACAGGAACUCCUAUUCUCUCUUCUGAUUUGACUUACAAAAUAUAAAAAACAAUCUGGUUAUCCUCACAUCCUUCUGGUGGCUCUUUUUCCUCUUGUCUUACUUUCCCCUUUUAUAUACCAUCUAAAUGAUCGGUUUUGCUCUUUCAAACCACUACUUCAACAUCAGUUCUCAAACCUUAUGGAACAUCAGAACUGCCUUGGGAGAUAAACAGCAGUUUCCAAGAGCACUUUAAGCCUAAAAAGUAGUUGGACUUUAUGGGGAUGGGAACAAGGUAUUGUUCUUGUUCUUUUUUCUUCCCUAAGAUAUUCCACUGAGUAAUCCCAUUUGAGAACAAAUGAUAAACUUUUAUCAAAAGCAUGGUCAUUAGACCAAUAACUUGAGCAUCAUCCAGAAGCUUAUCAGAAAUACAGAAUCUCAUGGCCCACCUCAGACCUCUAGGACAAAAAAAAAAAAAAUGCAUUUUUGAAAUCCCAAAUGAUUCAUAUCCAAAUUAAAAUUGAAAAGUGCUGGUAUAGAUUACUAAAUUUAGCACUUGUCCUAAUGUAUCUCCCAUACUCUGUCCUUGUGUUUCCACAGUCAUUUGCUUGUGGUAUAUCUUUAGCUGUAUAUUCUAGGAAGGACCUUAAAUGGAACUUAAACUUACAACUGAACUAAUAUUCUUUGUUCUCUCAAUCAUGCAUCAUCAUUUUUCUUUGAGUCUUUAGUCACUAAUAUUUUCUGUGUUCAUCCUGGCUUAUACCUUGUAAAAUUCUGUCCUUAAAAAAACCAAUCCCCUACAUAGCCACAAUGUCCUAUUGUAUUAUCCUUUUCCAUAUGUCUCAAGUUUUAGUCCUUUCCAUUUGCAACAGCAACUCAGACAUUAUUUUUUGCUUGAGCAUUUCAGAUGGCAUCCAAACUGAUCUUACAGACUCCAGGUAUCCUUUAUUUCAAUGAAUUGUGCACAAUUACAUUGGAUCAAUUUUUCUUUUUUUUUUUCCUUUUUUUUUUUUUUUGGCUUUUUUUGCCUUUUCUCGGGCCACUCCCAUGGCAUAUGGAGUUUCCCAGGCUAGGGGUCGAAUCGGAGCUGUAGCCACCAGCCUAUGCCAGCGCCACAGCAACACAGGAUCCGAGCCACAUCUGCGACCUAUACCACAGCUCACGGCAACGCCGGAUCCUUAACCCACUGAGCAAGGCCAGGGAUCAAAACUGCAACCUCAUCGUUCCUAGUCAGAUUUGUUAACCACUGCGCCAUGAUGGGAACUCCUGGAUCAAUCUUUCUAACACACCAUCACUAUCAGCUAGCAAAGAGGUUAGCCUAACAUUAACGAUCUCUAGAAGAGUCUUUACAUGAGUAACUCAGUCAUACUCUUCACUUUAAUGGAUACACAGUGUGCCAUUUUAAUGACCAGAUUAAAGCAAUUUUCACAUUUUCUGAUUUCCUUAAAGAUGAAAAUUUGAUGAUUAUAUAAUAUGGAAGGGUGCAGAUUGGCAAAAUCCAAAACAGUCAAAUCAAAGAAAGCCAUGUCCUUUGAGGGCAAAUAGAACAGUAAUAAAUUAUUUUUACUUUGUAUUAAUUUACAAAGAGCCCAGUAUGUUUGCCAUUUGAUUUGGUUCUUCCUUCCAUCAUUCAUAAUUCAAAUAAAAAAAGAAAUUAACAUUUCUAAUCACAGCUGAAAGUACUUCAUGUAUUUCCUCAGCAACAUAAUGUAACGCAAUUAGUUGUUCAGAUUAUGCCAUUUUAAUAAGUUGGAAAUUCUUCUCCAACCAGUAACCAUGCCAUGCAAGAAUAAUUAAAUUCUGAAUUCAGAUAUUAGUGAUAAUGUAGUUUUCUACUUAUCUUAGCCUUGACUUUAUUUAAAAAUAAAAUAGUAUAAAUCCAAUCUCAAAAAGAUGAUAUUUUUACUUCUUUAUAAUACUUACGCUCAAUUGAAAGUAUGAAGCAAGGAAUCCUGAAAAGGACUUUUACAUUUUUUUAAAUGGGAAAUUUUAGAAUUUUUAAAGGAAAAUACCUGAAGAAUUUAAGAAACUCAGUUUGUAGGUAUUUUUAUCUAGAGGAGAGAUUGAAGAGCAUGUGGAAGGAUCAAGGUUGGUUAAGACGAAAAUAAUUUCAGCUAAACUGAUUUUCACCUACUCAGUGCCCUUGUAUGUUUAGUAUUCAGUAUUAGUAUAAUUUAUUUAUCAGCAAAUUGCAAUAGACAAGUCAUAAGGUCCUUGGAAUUGCUUUUGAAUCCGUGAAGAAAUCUGGAAAAGUUUAUUAUCAAUUUAAUUGUUUCCUGAUGGGCAAGCACACUUCCUAAAUGCUCAGGAGUUCUAUAAGAAGAUACAUUUAGAUAUCCUUAGAGAGCAAAACAGUUAAUACCAAGGAAUCUAAUAUAAGGCACAAAUGAACCUUUCCACAGAAAAGAAAAUCAUGGACUUGGAGAAUAGAUUUGUGGUUGCCAAGGGGGAGGGGGAGGGAAUGGGGGUGGAUGGGGAGCUUGGGGUUAAUAGAUUUGUAUCUAUUGCCUUCGGAAUGGAUUAGCAAUGAGAUCCUGCUGUGUAGCACUG